UUGACUGCCAACACCUACGGCCGAGAUAAAGAGGCCCCAAAAGAUGGGAACAACCACACGGAAGAAACAUGUCUAGACUCUAUACCCGGGAAAGACACCCCAUCAGCGGGAACAAGUUAAGAAGCGGGGGAGGAAUAAAUCAAAAUGCAAAAAGGCGAGGUAAACCUGAAGAACCCAACACAGGACAUUUUCCUUCAUCAAUCUCUCGACGGCGCCGCUACAAUUCAGCAGAAUUCUUUUGUCCUCCUAAAAAAUUCACAAACAAUUAUUCCAAAGAGGAAACAACAAUUAGAAAUGGCUUGCGAGAACGGCAAAGUCAAGGAAAAUUACUCACGAACAACAGUAAAAUCCAGCACCAAAUUAUCCACAAUGGGGACAUGUACGUGAGAAGGAUGCAUACCGUCGUACGUGCUGCAGACCAUCAGACCAAUCCGAAGCACGGAGAUUCAGACUGCUAGCUGACAACGAACCCUGACGCCCCCCUCUCGUGCGGACAUUAGAACUGGAAGAAAUUGUCUUUUGCAAAAUAGAUGGGCAGCCAACAUCUCCGUACAUAUGAAUAUCCACCAAGCAAGAAGAGUCCAAAGACGAAAUAUCUAGCACAGCAGCCAAUGCACCAGCAAAGAGAGGGGCCGCAGGAACUGUCGGCGAGACAACAGAAUUAGGAAGACCGGCAAUGGCCAUGUGAAACAGAAGCACCACGCAAGGAAGAUACAAGACAAAGGCCCGCGGCAUAGCACCAGUUGAAACACCACUCAGACCAGGAGGAGGCGUGCCCAAAAAUAGACCAUCCGCAGAAGACGAGGAACAUACUUCUUCUCUGGAAUCUCUCGAAAAGGGUGCUUCCCCUCACAAAUAUCCC
rnacentral:lncRNA from 1 species